UUGUUUCCCUCACUAACUCCUCCUCCCAGAAACGAUACAGAGAAGAUUAGGUUGGUCCUCCAUCAUUCGAAUCCUCUCGAAACGAUCCCAAAUGAACGAAAAGCUUACAAAGAAUUUGUAGCAUGGCCCCUGCACUAAGGAUGACACGCUUAUCAAAGAGAAGCUAAACAUUUUU
rnacentral:snRNA from 1 species